rnacentral:rRNA from 1 species
UACGUAGGGUGCGAGCGUUGUCCGGAAUUAUUGGGCGUAAAGGGCUCGUAGGCGGUUUGUCACGUCGGGAGUGAAAACUCGGGGCUUAACCCCGAGCCUGCUUCCGAUACGGGCAGACUAGAGGUAUGCAGGGGAGAACGGAAUUCCUAGUGUAGCGGUGAAAUGCGCAGAUAUCAGGAGGAACACCGAUGGCGAAGGCAGGUCUCUGGGCAUUAACUGACGCUGAGGAGCGAAAGCAUGGGGAGCGAACAGG